UACCAAAAAAAAAAAAAAAUUACCCCGACUCUCAACAGUAUGAGAACGCUGCCUUCUCCACUGGUCCCUUGUCCUUCCUUUCCUCGAGUCCUCGGUUGAGGGCUCUUCCUCCGUCGUCUUCAGGAACCAGACGGGCGAUCGAUCCCCUUCUUCUUAGUUCUUCACGGUUGUCUUGACUCUGAGGCUUUUUCCAUUGUCUUCUUCGUCUGAUCACGUUGUUAGGGUUUUUCAUUUUGUAUUGAGGAAGAAGAUUGAGUAUUUGCAGAGGCUGGGUGCUGCGGACCUACAGAAGCCUCAAAGGUUGGAGACGGGGAGCUAACGGACUACACUAACACUAUGUUAGCUCAAUAAAACUAUAACUUUGCCAAAAAUUUGCCUAAAGUUUUUUGUGGACAUGAUUCUUAAUGGAUGCG